rnacentral:rRNA from 1 species
CCUACGGGAGGCAGCAGUGGGGAAUAUUGCACAAUGGGCGCAAGCCUGAUGCAGCCAUGCCGCGUGUAUGAAGAAGGCCUUCGGGUUGUAAAGUACUUUCAGCGGGGAUGAAGGGAGUAAAGUUAAUACCUUUGCUCAUUGACGUUACCCGCAGAAGAAGCACCGGCUAACUCCGUGCCAGCAGCCGCGGUAAUACGGAGGGUGCGAGCGUUAAUCGGAAUUACUGGGCGUAAAGCGCAUGCAGGCGGCCUGUUAAGUCAGAUGUGAAAUCCCCGGGCUCAACCUGGGAACUGCAUCUGAUACUGGCAAGCUUGAGUCUCGUAGAGGGGGGUAGAAUUCCAGGUGUAGCGGUGAAAUGCGUAGAGAUCUGGAGGAAUACCGGUGGCGAAGGCGGCCCCCUGGACGAAGACUGACGCUCAGGUGCGAAAGCGUGGGGAGCAAACAGGAUUAGAUACCCCGGUAGUC